UUUCAUUCGAAGUUCAGGAAACUAAUUGAACAAGUAUUUGAAAGUAAAUAAAUUUAGAUCCGAUUGAAAGAAACUAACCACAUGUUCCAAGUUCGUCCUUGCGUCACUAUGAGUUACAAGGUUUUCUCCCCAUAGAGAAGUCACUAUGAGUUACAAGGUUUCUCACCAUAGAGAAAAGCAAAGUGUCCCACAACACAGAUUCUAAAUUCGAUUCUUCCUUCUCGUUGAUUAAGAAAAAUCUAAUUUACAAAGUUUCG
rnacentral:lncRNA from 1 species